AAUUAUAUUUUUAUUAGAGCACAUGUCUACUUCUUAUUGAAAUAACUUUUUAUCCAGAUAGAAAAUCGCUGCCAAAUUUUUUCUACCACUUUCAAAUGCAAUAAAACAAUCUGUAACUUUGGAGAAACGUCCCCUGUACAUCCUUAAGAGUUUUACAUUAGGAAAAAGAAUUUUAUACCAAAACGACUUGCCACGGAGAAUUAUUAAUAGAGUUUCAUUAAUUUGCACGAGGUUUAAGGGAUUUGCGUAAAACGUCUGCUGAAAUCUACCGAGAGAUCUUUACAGAUCUUUGACGAAUAUUUAUUUCUGAGGAUAUCUCUCAGUUAGAAACGUCUUCUCGUGUAUCCCGUAACGUUACGAGACAACACGCUCGUCUCGUUCUGCUUCGGUCGGCUUUAAUCCCGACUACGGCGCGGCGGCUCGCGGUGCUCCUCGACCGCGGAGCGGCUUUUCUCGGUAAAGCCGCGAAACGGCUUGUUUGCGACUGCAUCUCGCCGCGUCGCGUUUAUUUCAACGUGUUGCGUCGCGCGUCUCGUGUCGCCGCGUCCCGUCUCGUUGCACCGUCCGGCCGAAUCCGAGCGGCAUGCAUGCGUCACAGGUUAUUUUUGCCUAGUCGUAUAUACACGCGCGCGACGCUCCGUAUACACACACGGCGAGGACCCGCGGGAUCCGUUCCCUGGCGUUUCGGUGGCAAUGAUUCCAGAGAUUCGUUCGCCGGUAGCUGAGCGUAGGCGAUCCAAACGGAUUGCGAAACGCAUCGCCCGUCGCCCGUCGCCCACCGUCGACGAUGGACGCGUUACCAUUUACCGAGAAGCACCAAAUUGAGAUUUGACGUAUCAUUUGUUUGGUGGCAACGAGGGACUUCUCCGUUUAUCUUCGAAACGGCUAUCUCUCGUCCGAGCAAAUGGAUUGCGAGGUACUUUUUGCGCAUCCGCGUGGUCACGCGUGACGAAUAUUAACGCCGAUGAAAAGUUACGUUGCCCGUAAGAAACUGGUUCGCGCAAAAGGGACGACAAGUGCGAUUCGCGUCUCCGGUCGCGUUAGAGAUUGUUACAGCAAUCGCUGCUCGAUCUUUCCCUCUCCCCCCUC